rnacentral:rRNA from 1 species
CAGUCGAACGGAGUUACGAUGAAACCUAGUGAUUCGUAACUUAGUGGCGGACGGGUGAGUAACGCGUGGAUAACCUGCCUUGCACUGGGGGAUAACACUUAGAAAUAGGUGCUAAUACCGCAUAAGCGCACAGAGCCGCAUGGCUCAGUGUGAAAAACUCCGGUGGUGUAAGAUGGAUCCGCGUCUGAUUAGCUGGUUGGCGGGGUAGAAGCCCACCAAGGCGACGAUCAGUAGCCGGCCUGAGAGGGUGAACGGCCACAUUGGGACUGAGACACGGCCCAAACUCCUACGGGAGGCAGCAGUGGGGAAUAUUGCACAAUGGGGGAAACCCUGAUGCAGCAACGCCGCGUGUGUGAAGAAGUCAUUCGUGAUGUAAAGCUCUAUCAGCAGGGAAGAAAAUGACGGUACCUGAGUAAGAAGCCCCGGCUAACUACGUGCCAGCAGCCGCGGUAAUACGUAGGGGGCAAGCGUUAUCCGGAUUUACUGGGUGUAAAGGGAGCGUAGACGGCCAGACAAGUCUGAAGUGAAAAUCCAGCGCUUAACGUUGGAAGUGCUUUGGAAACUGCCGGGCUAGAGUGCAGGAGGGGCAGGCGGAAUUCCUAGUGUAGCGGUGAAAUGCGUAGAUAUUAGGAGGAACACCAGUGGCGAAGGCGGCCUGCUGGACUGCAACUGACGUUGAGGCUCGAAGGCGUGGGGAGCAAACAGGAUUAGAUACCCUGGUAGUCCACGCGGUAAACGAUGAUUACUAGGUGUCGGGGGGCUAGAGCCCUUCG